GACGAACGCUGGCGGCGUGCUUAACACAUGCAAGUCGAACGGUGAAGCGCCUUCCUUUUUGGUGGGUGUGGAUGAGCGGCGAACGGGUGAGUAACACGUGAGUAACCUGCCCCCUUCUCCUGGAUAACCGCAUGAAAGUGUGGCUAAUACGGGAUAUUCUGGGUCUGUCGCAUGAUGGGUCUGGGAAAGAUAUUGUUUCGGUGGGGGAUGGGCUCGCGGCCUAUCAGCUUGUUGGUGGGGUGAUGGCCUACCAAGGCGGUGACGGGUAGCCGGCCUGAGAGGGUGGACGGCCACACUGGGAGUGAGACACGGCCCAGACUGCGACGGGAGGCAGCAGUGGGGAAUAUUGCACAAUGGGCGCAAGCCUGAUGCAGCGACGCCGCGUGAGGGAUGGAGGCCUGCGGGUUGUGAACCUCUUUCGCCAGUGAAGCAGGCCUGCCUGGUUUGUGGGUGGGUUGACGGUAGCUGGAUAAGAAGCGCCGGCUAACUACGUG
rnacentral:rRNA from 1 species